GGUUCAGUAGGUUCGUCGUGCCACCGGUACGUACUGGUCUCACUGAUUCCUCCUUCCUGAAGAACCGUAAUGCCAUUAAUUUGGUGUUGCGGGGAAACAGGACUGUUACUUUGAAAAAAUUAGAGUGUUUAUAGCAAGCUAACGCUUGAAUACAUUAGCAUGGAAUAAUGAAAUAGGACGAUCGAUCCUAUUUUGUUGGUUUCUAGGAUUGACGUA
rnacentral:rRNA from 1 species